CUCUUGUGAAUACAGUGGACCAUUUGGGUUCCGUGACAUAUAAGGUUAAUGAUCUCUUGGAUGAGAAGGUUGAUGAAGUUUCUGGAACAGAGUUCCGUGUGUCUUGCAUUGAACAGAGACUACGGACAUGCCGAGAAUAUAUUGAUCAUGAGGGCCUCACCCAACAAUCACUGAUGAUAAAUACUCCGAAGUACCAUAAGCGAUACAUCUUGCCUGUUGGUGAGACCAUGCAUGGAGCCCUCCGCACAAAAUCAAAAUACCUGGGUUGCAGUCUAGAUGAUGAAGAUGAUUGGAAUCAAUUCCGGGAUGCUGUUCGAGCUACGAUCACAGAAACCCCAACAUCUUCAGUCAGAAAAGGGCGUUCCCCUUCACCUUCUCCACGACACCCGCAGCGAUCUGCAACCUUUUCCUUUACAUCCACUAUGCC
rnacentral:misc_RNA from 1 species